CGAUUCGCAUGCUUGCACUAGCAGCCCUAGUGUCUCUACAUCUCGUAUGCUCUGCCAGUGUUGCUCAAUGUCGAACCAUGAAUGGCAUGGAUAGCAAGAAGAUCAAUAUACCAUACGGGCUAUGCGUUCAUAUAGCAGAUGCCAAACUAUGCGGGAGCAAUGGGUGCUUCCAUUGUUUGACAAAUGACGUCCUCUACCUCAGUAUGGAUAGGUGCACGAGAGCGUGUAAGACAUCCUCAUCUUUACAAGACGUGCUAGUGGCCAUGAGGACGUCCCCUCCUCGUCCUUUACAUGCUCCUUAAUUUUCCAGCCUAGCUAGUCAAAUUGGCUUACAUAUUUACAAGAUUGUCCCAAGAAAUAAUGUCUGAUGUGCGGAAAGGCAGUUAUGCAAUAAGAGCUGAGUAGUUUGGUUUGGCAAA